rnacentral:rRNA from 1 species
GAUGAACGCUGGCGGCGUGCCUAAUACAUGCAAGUCGAGCGAACAGACGAGGAGCUUGCUCCUCUGACGUUAGCGGCGGACGGGUGAGUAACACGUGGAUAACCUACCUAUAAGACUGGGAUAACUUCGGGAAACCGGAGCUAAUACCGGAUAAUAUAUUGAACCGCAUGGUUCAAUAGUGAAAGACGGUUUUGCUGUCACUUAUAGAUGGAUCCGCGCCGCAUUAGCUAGUUGGUAAGGUAACGGCUUACCAAGGCAACGAUGCGUAGCCGACCUGAGAGGGUGAUGGGCCACACUGGGACUGAGACACGGCCCAGACCCCUAGGGGGGGCAGCAGUAGGGAAUUUUCCGCAAUGGGCGAAAGCCUGACGGAGCAACGCCGGGGGAGUGAAGAAGGUCUUCGGAUCGUAAAACUCUUUUAUUAGGGAAGAAAAAAUGUGUAAGUAACUAUGCCCGUCUUGACGGUACCAAAUCAGAAAGCCACGGCUAACUACGG